rnacentral:rRNA from 1 species
UCCUACGGGAGGCAGCAGUAGGGAAUUUUCGGCAAUGGGGGAAACCCUGACCGAGCAAACGCCGCGUGAGCGAAGAAGGCCUUCGGGUCGUAAAGCUCUGUUGUAAAGGAAGAACGGCGCAUACAGGAAAUGGUAUGCGAGUGACGGUACUUUACCAGAAAGCCACGGCUAACUACGUGC